UCUUGACAUUUAUAUUUAACUUGUUUCCCUCAAAUUUUGAAAUGUUUCAAGAAGUACAAAAUAUGGAAAAACAAGAAACAAAAAUUUUAAAAAGAUCCGCAAAUUGGGGUCAGGAUGAAAAAGACAUACUUUCAAAUCUAGUUUUGAAUAAACUAGAUAUUAUCGAAAACGCCAAAAUCGAUACAAACACUAAUAGGAAGAAUAAAGAAGUUUGGAACACAAUCCUCGACCUAUUUAACAAAGUAUCCAAAAGCAACAGAAGUUUGGAGCAAAUUCAAAAUCAGUGGCGUAAAACAAAGUCAACUGCCAAGACAAAAAAUUCAGCAUAUAAAAAACAAAUGAAGCAGACUGGUGGUGGUCCACCACCUGAACCACUUAAUGAUAUUGAGGAACAGUUGGUCACCAGAUUGCCUAGCCAUUUCGAAAUAGAUUGCAAUAUGUAUGACAGCAAUUCUGUAGAAAUUGUAUCUCCCAUAC